UGGGGAAUUUUGCACAAUGGGGGAAACCCUGAUGCAGCGACGCCGCGUGAUUUAGAAGGCCUUCGGGUUGUAAAAAUCUUUUCUAUGGGAAGAAAAUGACAGUACCAUAGGAAUAAGGACCGGCUAAUUACGUGCCACCAGCCGCGGUAAUACGUAAGGUCCGAGCGUUGUCCGGAAUCAUUGGGCGUAAAGGGUACGUAGGCGGGUAAGCAAGUUAGAAGUGAAAUCCUAUAGCUCAACUAUAGUAAGCUUUUAAAACUGCUCAUCUUGAGGUAUGGAAGGGAAAGUGGAAUUCCUAGUGUAGCGGUGAAAUGCGCAGAUAUUAGGAGGAAUACCGGUGGCGAAGGCGACUUUCUGGCCAUAACCUGACGCUGAGGUACGAAAGCGUGGGUAGCAAACAGG
rnacentral:rRNA from 1 species